AGCGAACGUUAGCGGCGCGCCUAACACAUGCAAGUCGCACGAGAAAGGGCUUCGGCCCCGGUAAAGUGGCGCACGGGUGAGUAACACGUGGGCAACCUGCCCAACCCUGGGGGAUAACCUGCCGAAAGGCGGGCUAAUACCGCGUACGAGGGCUCGACUUCGGUCGGGUUCUGAAAGCAGGCCUCUGUAUACAAGCUUGUGGGGUUGGAUGGGCCCGCGCUCCAUCAGCUAGUUGGUGAGGUAACGGCUCACCAAGGCUACGACGGAUAGCUGGUCUGAGAGGAUGAUCAGCCACACUGGAACUGGAACACGGUCCAGACUCCUACGGGAGGCAGCAGUGGGGAAUCUUGCGCAAUGGACGAAAGUCUGACGCAGCGACGCCGCGUGGGUGACGAAGGCCUUCGGGUUGUAAAGCCCUGUGGGGUGAGACGAACAGCUGGGGUUCAAAUAGGGCCUUGGUCUGACGGUAUCACCUUAGCAAGCACCGGCUAACUCUGUGCCAGCCGCCGCCGUAACAC
rnacentral:rRNA from 1 species